ACACACACAUACGUACACACACACAUACACACACACACACACACACACACACACACACACACACACACACACACACACACACACACACACACACACACACACACCCUAUCUCUUCAAGAAUGUAAAAAAGGUUCCGGACUUGAGGCAAAUGUUUGUUGGAAUAAGUGGUGAUUUCCUGAUCGUGCUUUAAAAGGAGAUGAGACAGACCUAUUUUUAAGGGGAGUGUUAAUCCAGCAGUGGAUGAGACACAGCACAGAGCACACAGAAGGAAAAAGCAGGAAAGCUGACGGCGUGUGUAGGUCUGAGUCUCGUUAGGAAUGUCUCCUCUGGUUUUAAUGCCCUUUUGCCGGUCGCUGGAGGAUGCAGGCUAAAGCUCGGCACACGUGAAGCCCAUUUACCGUCAUCCUGGCAUCUGUUCUCACUAAUCCCCUCCAGACGUAACAAUAUUCCCUCCAAUAAGAUUAUGAUUGCUCAAUAAGCCUUAUCUAUGUAAUUCAGAAAACAUAUACGGCUUUAAACGAACUGGCUAGAUUAGAGAAGUUCUUAGCUAAUCUGGAGUCAGUCUGGAGUCAAUC